rnacentral:misc_RNA from 1 species
GAGGUUACCUACUUUUUCAGAGGUGACUUGUAAGCGACGAGCCAUCUGGGAAGAGAGGCGCAUCAGAAUAUCCGGGUUGACCUGGAUUAAUUGGCGAAAUUUUUUGUAGGAAAUUUCAGCGACCUCACAUGCGGUUUUCGCACGUACCCAGGCGCUGCGUUCCUGGCCUUCUUCAAACAGGCCCAGUUCACCAAUAAAAUCACCCUGAUUCAGAUAAGAAAGGAUCAUUUCUUUCCCUUCUUCAUCUUUGAUCAGCACUGCCACGGAGCCUUUAACGAUGUAGUACAGCGUUUCUGCUUUUUCACCCUGGUGAAUCAGCGUGCUCUUUGACGGGUACUUAUGAAUGUGGCAAUGAGACAAGAACCAUUCAAGAGUCGGGUCUGUUUGCGGUUUGCCAAGCACCAUGCGCGGUUAUCCUCUGUUAUAAGCUGUCUCCAGAGCCAGAAAACGGCACUGUCUCUGGGG